UACGGAGGGUGCAAGCGUUAUCCGGAUUCACUGGGUUUAAAGGGUGCGUAGGUGGGUUGGUAAGUCAGUGGUGAAAUCUCCGGGCUUAACCUGGAAACUGCCAUUGAUACUAUCAAUCUUGAAUACCUUGGAGGUGAGCGGAAUAUGUCAUGUAGCGGUGAAAUGCUUAGAUAUGACAUAGAACACCAAUUGCGAAGGCAGCUCACUAGACGGUCAUUGACACUGAGGCACGAAAGCGUGGGGAUCAAACAGG
rnacentral:rRNA from 1 species